CUACGUGCCAGCAGCCGCGGUAAUACGGAAGGUCCAGGCGUUAUCCGGAUUUAUUGGGUUUAAAGGGAGUGUAGGCGGUUUGUUAAGCGUGUUGUGAAAUUUAGAUGCUCAACAUUUAACUUGCAGCGCGAACUGUCAGACUUGAGUACACGCAACGUAUGCGGAAUUCAUGGUGUAGCGGUGAAAUGCUUAGAUAUCAUGAAGAACUCCGAUUGCGAAGGCAGCAUACGGGAGUGUAACUGACGCUUAAGCUCGAAGGUGCGGGUAUCGAACAGGAUUAGAUACCCUGGUAGUCCGCACAGUAAACGAUAGAUGCCCGCUGUUAGCGCCUGGCGUUAGCGGCUAAGCGAAAGCAUUAAGCAUCCCACCUGGGGAGUACGCCGGCAACGGUGAAACUCAAAGGAAUUGACGGAGGCCCGCACAAGCGGAGGAACAUGUGGUUUAAUUCGAUGAUACGCGAGGAACCUUACCCGGGCUUGAAUUGCAGAGGAAUUAUUUAGAGAUA
rnacentral:rRNA from 1 species